UGACAGUACUCCUACGGGAGGCAGCAGUGGGGAAUAUUGCACAAUGGGCGCAAGCCUGAUCCAGCCAUGCCGCGUGAGUGAUGAAGGCCCUACGGGUUGUAAAGCUCUUUCACCGGUGAAGAUAAUGACGGUAACCGGAGAAGAAGCCCCCGGCUAACUUCGUGCCAGCAGCCGCGGUAAUACGAAGGGGGCUAGCGUUGUUCGGAUUUACUGGGGCGUAAAGCGCACGUAGGCGGACUUUUAAGUCAGGGGUGAAAUCCCCGGGCUCAACCCGGAACUGCCUUUGAUACUGGAAGUCUUGAGUAUGGUAGAGGUGAGUGGAAUUCCGAGUGUAGAGGUGAAAUUCGUAGAUAUUCGGAGGAACACCAGUGGCGAAGGCGGCUCACUGGACCAUUACUGACGCUGAGGUGCGAAAGCGUGGGGACGCAAACAGGAUUAGAUACCCUGGUAG
rnacentral:rRNA from 1 species